CCAGCCCUUCUCUUUUCCGUCACAACCCCGCUAUCAUCCUCUGAACCCGCCGCCGACCACCCACCACAGUCGUCAACUACCCCUCGCCCCUUGACCCCUCUCCUUCUCUUUCUUUCUUUCUUCUUCCCCUUCUCUUCUUCAUCUGUUUCUGCUCCUCCGCGCCACCACAGCCGCCGCGCCCCUCCCUUUCUCUUCUUCCUCUCUCCCUGUCUCGGCCUCACCCCCCGAGUCCUAAAACCACCGCGAUCCCCCCCUUCAUGCCUGUAGCAGCGCCUCACCUCCGCCAACCUUCUUCUCCUCUAUCCGCGAGCCCAGGACCGCAGCGCCACCAGCAACCCUAAUCGCCGAUGCCCUGCUUUCGCCGCGCCUCUCCAGCUCCUGUUCAGUCGGCGAUCCCACCUCGUUCUUCCUCCUCUUCGCGCUACCUUCUCCUCCCUUCGCUCCCCAAAACCACCGAAACCUAGCCCUGUCUCAGCCCCUGUUUCUGCAUCCCUUUCCCUCUGCCACAACCUCCACAUACUACCUUUUCCUUCCCCUGUUGCUCUUCUCUGCUCAGAACAGCCAGCACAGGGACAUGUCCCCUGAUUCCAUUUCACUGCACCCCAGGGUAGCUAGCUGCACCAGCGCCACUGCCAGGCCGGCCAACUUCGCUGCUUCCCCACACACUUCCGAUGCUUGCUUUCCCUUUCUCCUGUUCUGUUCCUUCCUUACAGUUUUCUGCUUAUGAGCAUCUGAGGAGGAGGAGGCCUGGCGUGAUGAACCAGAGGAGGCCUGGCGUGAUGAACCAGAGGAGGCGCGGGAUGGUAGAGGUGACGAAGUGACAACUCCUUCCACUCCACAUGGUCAUGAGCACUGAGGAGGGUGCUACAUUUUAAGUGUGGGGAGGUUGUCCAACUUCAGCAGUGCAUUUUGGCGAUUUCAGAUUUUCAAGGCAAGUUUGGGUUGAAGAAGUGGAGAAAGAGCAUCCAAAGUUGAAGAAUUCAAGAAAUGAAGGAUUGGUAAAGCUAUCCAUCCUGACCUCUCGGUACUAAAUUGGUCAUAACUUGAGCUACAAAGGUCCAAAUGAGGCGGUUCCAGCGGCAUUGAAAAUCUAACGUCCGGGGCUUCGAAACGAUAUAUAAUUUGCUAUAGUGGUCUAAGUGGAAGUGUGCGUACGCACACAAUUUGUGCGCACGCACAGGUCCUUGCACGUGACCUCAUUAACUGGAAACCGCUGGAGGCGAUUUUUGGGCCCCAAAACCCAAUCCAACUUAUUUCUGAAGCUAUUUCAAGUCAAAUUGAAGAGGAAUGAAGGGGGGAGCACUUAGGUUUAGGUUUUAUCAUGUUGUAGGUCAUUUUCUAGAAAGAGAAGCUCCCCCUUCUCUCUAGAAUUAGGGUUUUUAUCUUUAUUCUCUUUUUAAUUUCUCUCUUUAAUUCUUGUUUAAUUGUAAUUUCAUUUACAUUUUCUUGUUCUAUUGCCUUUACUCUCUUUGUUUCCUUUGUUAAUUUCUCUUUUAUACUCAUUUUAGUUGUAUGAACACACUUGUCACUUUUAAUUUCCUUUAAUGAAAUUUUGAUGUUUAUGUUUC